GACUGUACAAAGGUAGCAUAAUCACUUGUUUCUUAAUUGGAAUCUGGUAUGAAUGGUUUGAUGAAAAAUGGACUUUCUUCAUAUUAUAUAUAGAACUUAUAUUUUAAGUUAAAAUACUUAAAUUUAUAUAUAGGACGAGAAGACCCUAUAGAACUUUAAUUAUAUUUAUUUAUAUAUAUAUUAGUUAAUUAUAUUUAUAUAAAUAUAUAUUAUUUAUAUUGGGGUGAUAAAUAAAAUAUCAAAACUUUAUUUAAUUAUAUCAAAUAUGCUUGAUACAUUGAUCCUUUAUUUAAGAUUAUAAGAUCAAGUUACCUUAGGGAUAACAGCGUUAUUAUUUUGGAGAGUUCAAAUCGAUAAAAUAGUUUGCGACCUCGAUGUUGGAUUAAAAUUAAUAUUAAGAGUAGCAUCUUAAAUAUUAGGUCUGUUCGACCUUUAUAUUUUUACA
rnacentral:rRNA from 1 species